AUGCAGUCGAGCGGACAGAUGGGAGCUUGCUCCCUGAUGUUAGCGGCGGACGGGUGAGUAACACGUGGGUAACCUGCCUGUAAGACUGGGAUAACUCCGGGAAACCGGGGCUAAUACCGGAUGGUUGUUUGAACCGCAUGGUUCAAACAUAAAAGGUGGCUUCGGCUACCACUUACAGAUGGACCCGCGGCGCAUUAGCUAGUUGGUGAGGUAACGGCUCACCAAGGCAACGAUGCGUAGCCGACCUGAGAGGGUGAUCGGCCACACUGGGACUGAGACACGGCCCAGACUCCUACGGGAGGCAGCAGUAGGGAAUCUUCCGCAAUGGACGAAAGUCUGACGGAGCAACGCCGCGUGAGUGAUGAAGGUUUUCGGAUCGUAAAGCUCUGUUGUUAGGGAAGAACAAGUACCGUUCGAAUAGGGCGGUACCUUGACGGUACCUAACCAGAAAGCCACGGCUAACUACGUGCCAGCAGCCGCGGUAAUACGUAGGUGGCAAGCGUUGUCCGGAAUUAUUGGGCGUAAAGGGCUCGCAGGCGGUUUCUUAAGUCUGAUGUGAAAGCCCCCGGCUCAACCGGGGAGGGUCAUUGGAAACUGGGGAACUUGAGUGCAGAAGAGGAGAGUGGAAUUCCACGUGUAGCGGUGAAAUGCGUAGAGAUGUGGAGGAACACCAGUGGCGAAGGCGACUCUCUGGUCUGUAACUGACGCUGAGGAGCGAAAGCGUGGGGAGCGAACAGGAUUAGAUACCCUGGUAGUCCACGCCGUAAACGAUGAGUGCUAAGUGUUAGGGGGUUUCCGCCCCUUAGUGCUGCAGCUAACGCAUUAAGCACUCCGCCUGGGGAGUACGGUCGCAAGACUGAAACUCAAAGGAAUUGACGGGUGCCCGCACAAUCUGUGUGAUCAUGGUGUUUUAUUUCAAA
rnacentral:rRNA from 1 species